UGCCACAAACCCGUAGAUCCGAACUUGUGGUGAAAGGCAACACAAGCUCGUGUCUACAGGUCUGUGACAG
rfam:Lepisosteus oculatus linkage group LG26, whole genome shotgun sequence.